AUUGAACGCUGGCGGAAUGCUUUACACAUGCAAGUCGAACGAUGAACCUUAGCUUGCUAAGGGGAUUAGUGGCGAACGGGUGAGUAAUGUAUCGGAACGUAUCCAAUAAUGGGGGAUAACUAGUCGAAAGAUUAGCUAAUACCGCAUACGUCCUACGGGAGAAAGCUAGGGACCUUCGGGCCUGGCGUUAAUGGAGCGGCCGAUAUCUGAUUAGCUAGUUGGUGGGGGAAAGGCUCACCAAGGCGACGAUCAGUAGCUGGUCUGAGAGGACGACCAGCCACACUGGAACUGAGGCACGGUCCAGACUCCUACGGGAGGCAGCAGUGGGGAAUUUUGGACAAUGGGCGAAAGCCUGAUCCAGCCAUUCCGCGUGAGUGAAGAAGGCCUUCGGGUUGUAAAGCUCUUUCGCAAGGGAAGAAAACUUAAGCUCUAACAUAGCUUGAGGUUGACGGUACCUUGAUAAGAAGCACCGGCUAACUACGUGCCAGCCGCCGCCGUAA
rnacentral:rRNA from 1 species